GCCUUUGCCUGCCAGGAGCAUCCCCUGGGAAGGCAAAUGGAAUCGAAGGUCCCAAGUGCCCUGUGGGACCCUAGUGAGAAGCAGUGGUCUUCCAUGCUGUGGGGAUGGCUGUCCCAUUAGCCACCCCACUCUCACAGGCGGCCCAGAGGCUUUGGUCCUCUGGCUGCUUGUGCACAGCAGACACUGCACGUCUGUGGUAGCACCAGAACAACCCUGACACAGCCCAGAAAUAUCACCUGAUGGAAAUGAGGAACUGGGAUUUUGUUGCAAGCUCUGGUUACAGGAAACCAAAACCAAAAAGCUACUGUGUAUCCGUGUGUUGCUCCCUCCCAGACGCACGAGGGUGCUUUGAACAAAGGACAUGUAGAGACAUGCAGAGACUGCUGUGACUCCAUCUCCCCCUGAGAAUUCUUCCACUCAGGUCUUGCCAGAGGAUGCCAACCCAUCCUUGCAAGGUUUGAGGAGCUCUGCAGAAGGAUCUUCAUGGGCUGUACUGAGUCCUGGGCUCCUCUGCACCAGGAAGGGCCCCACAGAACUCCUUGGGGACCUCAUGAGUCACUGAGAAAGUCCCCAGGUGCUGAGGCCAAAGGCCUCAAAAUUCACCUGUGGAGAAACAAGCAAAGGAGAGAGGUGAAAAGAAAAAAGCAAUUUGAAGAUGAGAGAUGAAUCUGCUCUGGUGUAAGUUUGGAGAAGUCAUCACCAAAUUUGAUGUGGGAUUGCUGUCCUCUCCUUCCCUCCAGGGAGCACUGUGGCAUCUCCUUUCCCCUAGAUUUUGGAGAGAACGGAUUUGUGUUUCUUACCCAGAAACAGAAAUAAAGCUCCAACAACCUGCUUGUGCAGAUCUCUUGUUCCCUG